AUUGAACGCUGGCGGCAUGCCUUACACAUGCAAGUCGAACGGCAGCGGACCUUCGGGUGCCGGCGAGUGGCGAACGGGUGAGUAAUAUAUCGGAACGUACCUUUCAGUGGGGGAUAACGUAGCGAAAGUUACGCUAAUACCGCAUAUUCUGUGAGCAGGAAAGCAGGGGAUCGCAAGACCUUGCGCUGAUUGAGCGGCCGAUAUCAGAUUAGCUAGUUGGUGAGGUAAAGGCUCACCAAGGCGACGAUCUGUAGCGGGUCUGAGAGGAUGAUCCGCCACACUGGAACUGAGACACGGUCCAGACUCCUACGGGAGGCAGCAGUGGGGAAUUUUGGGCAAUGGGCGCAAGCCUGAUCCAGCCAUGCCGCGUGAGUGAAGAAGGCCUCGGUU
rnacentral:rRNA from 1 species